UACGAGUUUGAUCAUGGCUCAGAAUCAACGCUGGCGGCGUGCCUCAGACAUGCAAGUCGAACGAUUAAAGCUCUCUUCGGAGAGUGCAUAGAGUGGCGCACGGGUGAGUAACACGUAAGUAAUCUACCUUCGAGUGGGGAAUAACGUCCGGAAACGGGCGCUAAUACCGCAUAAUGCAGCGGCAUCGCAAGAUGACAGUUGUUAAAGGAGCAAUCCGCUUGAAGAGGAGCUUGCGGCAGAUUAGCUAGUUGGUAGGGUAAUGGCCUACCAAGGCUACGAUCUGUAACCGGUCUUAGAGGACGGUCGGUCACACUGACACUGAAUAACGGGUCAGACUCCUACGGGAGGCAGCAGUCGGGAAUUUUGGGCAAUGGGGGAAACCCUGACCCAGCAACGCCGCGUGAAGGAUGAAGUAUUUCGGUAUGUAAACUUCGAAAGAAUAGGAAGAAUUAAUGACGGUACUAUUUAUAAGGUCCGGCUAACUACGUG
rnacentral:rRNA from 1 species